GAUGAAUUUCGAAAGUACAGUUUUUGCAAAGAAAAUCAUCGUAAACUUUCAUUCAAGCUAUCAAAGUCUACUGAACAGAAAAUAGAUUGAAUGUGUAAAUAUACUGAACAUUUAGACCGCCAGGAUUUAUGCCGGAUUUCAUUGUGCCCAGAACAACAAAACAAACAAUGGCCUGGGUACAAGUAUCUACAGCCUGUUCGCAGGCAAACAAGAAAGAACAGUACCUGAAAGUAGACAUUUCUGUGACCUUUGUAUGUCCAUCAACUGAAUAUCCCAUUACGGGGCCAUAUUUAUCCAUCAUAGUCUCUUUGUAUCCAUUUAGUAUAGUCACAAUUCAUCAGUAAUGAUCUGUAAAACAAGGCAAAAAAUCAAUUAAUUCAGAUAUAGAACUUGACAAAAAAUUAAACCAUUAGGUUGUAUACAGUGCCCUGAUGCAUGCUCUACUUGAGUAUUUUACUGUCCAACGCCAGACGAUUUUAUGCUUCAUAAUGAGAAUGCCCAUAUGCCUAGUUUAUACCCAUUAACUGCUAGUACUCCCCCUGCUUAAUAAAAUUGUCUGACAUUAGACAGAGUUAAAUAAUAUAAGUAGGUAAAUUAGGGUGCAAAUCAACUUAACCCAUUGCAUUGAGUCGCAUUGCACCCUGAUGCACCCUACUUUAGUAUUUUACUCUGUCUAACGCCAGACGAUUUUACUCAUCAAGGGGAGAGCGCUGGCGCUUAAUGGGUUAAUGGCUAAAUGUGCUGUCUACAUGAUCCCAGUUUGUUUGUCAGGACAGGAUGAAAGGUGGGAUGAUUUUCAUGUACUGAGAUAAGUCACUAGGCUUGAACAAAAGUUCAAGGAUGGUUAAAAGAACUCAAACUAUGUUGUCCAACAAUCUCAUGGUAAAGAUUAUUUAGUCUAUAACUAGAAGUUCUGUCGCACAAUUAUGAGUCUAUAAGUAGAAAAAUAAUGCAAACC